GAUGAAGAACGUAGCGAAAUGCGAUAAGUAAUGUGAAUUGCAGAAUUCAGUGAAUCAUCGAAUCUUUGAACGCACCUUGCGCCCUUUGGCUAUUCUGAAGGGCAUGCCUGUUUGAGUAUCAUGAACACCUCAACUCUCAUGGUUCGCCAUGAUGAGCUUGGACUUUGGGGGUCUUGCUGGCCUACGGUCGGCUCCUCUCAAAUGAAUCAGCUUGCCAGUGUUUGGUAGAGUCGCAGGUGUGAUAACUAUCUACGCUUGUGGUUUUCUGCAAGAUAACCUUCAGUGAUGGAGGUUCGCUGGAGCUUAUAAAUGUCUCUCCCCAGUGAGGACAGCUUUUUGAACGUUUGAUCUCAAAUCAGGUAGGACUACCCGCUGAACUUAAGCAUAUCAAUAAGCGGAGGA
rnacentral:misc_RNA from 1 species